rnacentral:rRNA from 1 species
GAUGAACGCUGGCGGCGUGCCUAAUACAUGCAAGUCGAGCGAACGGACGAGAAGCUUGCUUCUCUGAUGUUAGCGGCGGACGGGUGAGUAACAAGUGGAUAACCUACCUAUAAGACUGGGAUAACUUCGGGAAACCGUAGCUAAUACCGGAUAAUAUUUUGAACCGCAUGGUUCAAAAGUGAAAGACGGUCUUGCUGUCACUUAUAGAUGGAUCCGCGCUGCAUUAGCUAGUUGGUAAGGUAACGGCUUACCAAGGCAACGAUGCAUAGCCGACCUGAGAGGGUGAUCGGCCACACUGGAACUGAGACACGGUCCAGACUCCUACGGGAGGCAGCAGUAGGGAAUCUUCCGCAAUGGGCGAAAGCCUGACGGAGCAACGCCGCGUGAGUGAUGAAGGUCUUCGGAUCGUAAAACUCUGUUAUUAGGGAAGAACAUAUGUGUAAGUAACUGUGCACAUCUUGACGGUACCUAAUCAGAAAGCCGCGGCUAACUACGUG